rnacentral:rRNA from 1 species
CCUACGGGAGGCAGCAGUGGGGGAUAUUGGACAAUGGGGGGAACCCUGAUCCAGCGACGCCGCGUGAGUGAAGAAGUAUUUCGGUAUGUAAUGCUCUGUCAGCAGGGAAGAAAGAAAUGACGGUACCUGACCAAGAAGCCCCGGCUAACUACGUGCCAGCCGCCGCGGUAAUACGUAGGGGGCAAGCGUUAUCCGGAUUUAUUGGGGUUAAAGGGUGCGUAGGCGGAAUAUCAAGUCAGCGGUAAAAAUUCGGGGCCCAACCCCGUCGUGCCGGUGACACUGAUGUUCUUGAGUGGGCGAGAAGUAUGCGGAAUGCGUGGUGUAGCGGUGAAAUGCAUAGAUAUCACGCAGAACUCCGAUUGCGAAGGCAGCAUACCGGCGCCCAACUGACGCUGAAGCACGAAAGCGUGGGUAUCGAACAGGAUUAGAUACCCCAGUAGUC